rnacentral:misc_RNA from 1 species
ACCUUCAUAACACUGGAGAGUUUUUCAUAAUGUCAACACGAAAACUGUUCUCUCUUUUCUCAAAGCCACUUUUUCGAUGUCAGUCACCACUGCAUUUGACAUCAAGAUGUUCCUCGUAUUUUCCUGUAAACGAUGCUUUAUUUGGUCUGACGCCAGAGCAAAAGCAGUUAAGGCAGACAGUAUUUCAGUUUUGCGAAAAGGAACUUGCACCAAAAGCUGAUGAGAUUGACAAAACUAAUGACUUCAAAGACAUUAAGGAUUUUUGGAGAAAAUGUGGAGAACUUGGAUUAAUGGGAAUUACUGCACCUUGUAAGUAGGUUUAGAUAGACACAGUAUGGUGGAACAGAGGGAACAUAUCUAGAUCAUUGUCUUGUGAUGGAGGAAAUGAGUAGAUUCUCAGCAGCCAUUGCAUUAAGCUAUGGAGCUCAUUCCAAUUUGUGUGUCAAUCAGCUUGUCCGAAAUGGCAGUGAGGCCCAAAAAGAAAAAUACUUACCAGAGUUGAUCUCAGGUGAAAAAGUAGGGGCCUUGGCUAUGAGUGAACCUAAUGCAGGAUCUGAUGUUGUGUCAAUGAAAUUGAAAGCAGAGAAACAAGGGGAUUACUAUGUACUAAAUGGCACAAAGUUUUGGAUAACAAAUGGACCUGAUGCUGACACUCUUAUUGUGUAUGCCAAGACUGAUUUAUCUGCUGCUCCUCAACAUGGAAUUACAGCCUUCAUUGUGGAAAAGGGAAUGCCUGGUUUUAGUACAGGGAUCAAGCUUGACAAGCUUGGAAUGAGGGGCUCAAAUACAUCAGAAUUAAUAUUUGAAGACUGUAAAGUUCCAGCUGAAAAUAUGUUGGGAGAAAAGAAUAAAGGUGUUUACGUCCUUAUGAGUGGUCUGGACAUAGAGCGUUUGGUUCUCUCUGCUGGACCAAUCGGAAUAAUGCAGGCAUGUUGUGAUGUUGCUUUUGCAUAUGCACACCAAAGAGAAGCUUUUGGAGAAAAAAUUGGAUCUUUUCAGAUGAUCCAAGCAAAGAUGGCCAACAUGUAUACUACACUUAAUGCAUCUCGAUCCUAUGUUUAUAACGUGGCUCAUUCACUGGACAGAGGAGAAAGACAAAACAAUGAUUGUGCGGCAGUGAUCUUGUACACAGCUGAGGCAGCUACACAGAUGGCACUGGAUGCCAUCCAGAUACUUGGUGGUAAUGGUUACAUUAAUGAUUACCCAACUGGACGCUUCCUGAGGGAUGCUAAGCUAUACGAGAUUGGAGCAGGAACCAGUGAAGUCAGGCGACUAAUCAUUGGACGAGCUAUAAAUGCCCACUAUAAAUAAUCCGUCAUUUCACAGGAACCCAAAGCUAGUCUGUGAUUCUAUCAGUAUUUUGCUCGCAUGUAAACAAUACAUUGUCAUUGCAUUCACUUUGUAUGAAAAGAUGUCAGUUAAUUAUUCAUAUAUAGCCAUUAUGUCAAUAAAGAAGUUGAAUACAAUCAGAAGGUACUCGGAGAACUGGCAUAAGCUCUUGACCAUUUACCAGUAUACAUCAGUGCUGUAUGUUAGAACAACAAAAAUGAACAUUCAAUACCUCAAGAUUUUACUGCUAUUGUAAAAUAAACUAUAAUCAUGUUUUCACAGCCUGCUGUGUUGAUUAAUGCAAUUUGUUGAUCAAAUAAAAUUAAAGUCAUAAAUUU